rnacentral:rRNA from 1 species
UACAGAGGGUGCAAGCGUUGUUCGGAAUUAUUGGGCGUAAAGGGCGCGUAGGCGGUGCGGUAAGUCUCUAGUGAAAUCUCCGGGCUCAACUCGGAGCCUGCUAGGGAAACUGCCGUGCUUGAGUGUGGGAGAGGUGAGUGGAAUUCCCGGUGUAGCGGUGAAAUGCGUAGAUAUUGGGAGGAACACCGAUGGCGUAAGCAGUCUACUGGCCUGUUUCUGACACUAAGGCACGAAAGCGUGGGGAGCAAACGGG